ncrna:Enterococcus asini ATCC 700915 L31-Firmicutes ribosomal protein leader
CUCUGGUGAAGCAAAUGAGCCAGGGCAAAGGAG